GAGAAAUCAAGUGUGGUCUCCUUUACCAAGAGAGAGAACAAGCACAGCCCAGGGCAAGCCAGGGUGUUUUCUUGGCCUGUCUUGCAAGUUAGUGUCUCUGACAGGCACACAGUUUCAUUAGAUGCAAACAGUGACCCUCUCCCCAUAGAAAUGAACCUAAACUUCAUCCAGCCUUAACUUUCCAUCCUGAUAGAGUUAGAAAGGCUCCAGCCCCUCCCUCAGGGUUUCCUGAGAGAGUUUAUUCACCUUCGUAAUGUGUCUGUUUCCCAAAUUGAGAAGGAUCUGGGCAUACCCUUCUGCAAGUACACCCCAAGGCAGGACCUGGUCAGCUCCUCAAGUGGCAGAAAAAGGUGUAGGAGGACUCCACGACUUUGGAAGUGUUUAGGUAGUGUGUGUGUUUUUGGAGAGUAGGAUUACAGAACCCGUGGUCUCACUGCUAAGAUGGUGCAGCAGGAUUCUAUCAAAGAUGAGAUAUUUAUACAGGAAAUAAGAUCCCCAGUUGGAGCAGACAGGAUAAACAUUUACUGCUACUAAUUCACACCUCAGGAUGCAAGUCAGUGGCUGGCACAUGGAGAAAGUAUUCUCCCAAAUAGAUUUACACCUUCUGCUGAUUCUCAGACAGGAACAGAUCAGACAACCACCUACAGGAUAGGAUGAUGGCUGUUCAUGCUCCCCAUCUGCUACGCACAGCAAAGUGACUCCCACCUUUCCCCUCUUGCCAGCUGCUCUGCUCACUUCCAUUCUUCCACCAUCUCCGUUCACGUCGCUGUUCUCCCUACUCAGCUUGGCCCCAUCGUCCUCGCUGUCUGUUGCAAAACCAUCGUUGGCCUCUGUGUUUUGGGGAGCUGCUGGGCUUUUUUCUGGGAAGAGUCCAGGUGGGUACAGAUCGCUCAUGCUGUCGUCCGUCUCCUCUCCAUCCUCAUCCUCAUCUGUCCUGGGAGAGUUUGGCUCCCAGAAUUCUUCCGUUCUGUGGGGCUGCCUGCUCCCAUCCAUUUGGUCGUCAGCGUGCUGUCUCCGCUGCUGCUUCUGCCGCAGGCAGGCAGGGACAUACUUCACCCCUUCCUUCUGGCACUUCUCAUAUGUUUUCAGUGCCUUCUGAUAGCGUUUCCCUUGGACGUGACGCAGGACAUGCUCUGGAAGCUUGUUGAUGUGUCUGAGAGUGAGUUUGCAGAACAGCUGAUGUAUGUUCUUUGUGCUGGGCACUAUAUGGGGCUCGAAGGUGCCAUAAUCAAACUCUCUGGAUGUCUUUAUCAGCCGCCGGUACUUCCUGCCGUCGGUGUAAGCCUGCAGCUCCGCCAGCCGGCACGGCAACUCGUGGCCCGUCAGCCGGCACCGCACCUUGCCCGACUCCGCGAGGCUGAGCAGCGGGUGCUGCCGCAAGAAGAGCCGC
rnacentral:lncRNA from 1 species